rnacentral:rRNA from 1 species
AACGCGAAGAACCUUACCUGGGCUUGACAUGUGAGUGACCGGUGUGGAAACACACUUUCCCUUCGGGGCACUUUCACAGGUGGUGCAUGGCUGUCGUCAGCUCGUGUCGUGAGAUGUUGGGUUAAGUCCCGCAACGAGCGCAACCCCCGUCGCAUGUUGCCAGCAUUUAGUUGGGGACUCAUGCGAGACUGCCGGUGACAAACCGGAGGAAGGUGGGGAUGACGUCAAGUCCUCAUGCCCCUUAUGUCCAGGGCGACACACGUGCUACAUUGGCGCGUACAGAGGGCUGCGAUACCGCGAGGUGGAGCCAAUCCCUUAAAGCGCGUCUCGGUUCGGAUUGCAGGCUGAAAUUCGCCUGCAUGAAGGCGGAGUUGCUAGUAAUCGCGGAUCAGCAUUGCCGCGGUGAAUACGUUCCCGGGCCUUGUA